rnacentral:piRNA from 1 species
UUCUAUGAGUGCUUAGAUGGAAAAUUCAAU